UAAGGAAGUUUUUUAUGCUUGUGAAGAUCAAAGCACUUGAUAUGGUUUCAUUAGCACAAAACUGAAUGAUCGUGAAUGUAUUAUUUUUCAGUUGAAUCUACUUUUUGUAUGCUCAUUAGGUUCUACCUCUAUUAAGCAAAUACAUAUGUGCUGAUUUUUCUACAUGUUAACCAGAUGCAGAGUUCUUUGAUGCAAUGCGCUCUAAUGGUAUCAUUCCCAAACUCAGUCAGGCUCUACAGAUAGAGGUAUCCACUGCCAAUCCUACCAUAACUGUGAAAGAGUGACUUGUGUACUUAUAUUUAAUUGAAUGUGCUGAGUGAUUGUUAGGUUCUACCUCUCUGU
rnacentral:lncRNA from 1 species